rnacentral:rRNA from 1 species
CAAUAGCGUAUAUUUAAGUUGUUGCAGUUAAAAAGCUCGUAGUUGGAUUUCGGGUGAGACGCAGCGGUCUCGCAUUGCGUUUGUACUGCUGCAGCCCUCCUUCUUGCCGGGGGCGGCCUCUCGGACUUCACUGUCUGGGGGUCAGAAUCGGCGAUGUUACUUUGAGUAAAUUAGAGUGUUCAAAGCAAGCUUACGCUCUGAAUAUAAUAGCAUGGGAUAACACGACAGGACUCUGGCCUAUCGUGUUGGUCUAUAGGACCAGAGUAAUGAUUAAGAGGGACAGUCGGGGGCAUUCGUAUUCCGUUGUCAGAGGUGAAAUUCUUGGAUUUACGGAAGACGAACAUCUGCGAAAGCAUUUGCCAAGGAUGUUUUCAUUGA